AUUGAACGCUGGCGGCAUGCCUUACACAUGCAAGUCGAACGGUAACGGGCCUUCGGGUGCCGACGAGUGGCGAACGGGUGAGUAAUACAUCGGAACGUGCCCGAUCGUGGGGGAUAACGAGGCGAAAGCUUUGCUAAUACCGCAUACGAUCUACGGAUGAAAGCAGGGGACCGCAAGGCCUUGCGCGGACGGAGCGGCCGAUGGCAGAUUAGGUAGUUGGUGGGAUAAAAGCUUACCAAGCCGACGAUCUGUAGCUGGUCUGAGAGGAUGAUCAGCCACACUGGGUCUGAGACACGGCCCAGACUCCUACGGGAGGCAGCAGUGGGGAAUUUUGGACAAUGGGCGCAAGCCUGAUCCAGCCAUGCCGCGUGCAGGAUGAAGGCCUUCGGGUUGUAAACUGCUUUUGUACGGAACGAAAAGCCUUCUUUUAAUACAGGAGGGUCAUGACGGUACCGUAAGAAUAAGCACCGGCUAACUACGUG
rnacentral:rRNA from 1 species